CUACGGGCGGCAGCAGUGGGGAAUAUUGCACAAUGGGCGCAAGCCUGAUGCAGCCAUGCCGCGUGUAUGAAGAAGGCCUUCGGGUUGUAAAGUACUUUCAGCGGGGAGGAAGGGAGUAAAGUUAAUACCUUUGCUCAUUGACGUUACCCGCAGAAGAAGCACCGGCUAACUCCGUGCCAGCAGCCGCGGUAAUACGGAGGGUGCAAGCGUUAAUCGGAAUUACUGGGCGUAAAGCGCACGCAGGCGGUUUGUUAAGUCAGAUGUGAAAUCCCCGGGCUCAACCUGGGAACUGCAUCUGAUACUGGCAAGCUUGAGUCUCGUAGAGGGGGGUAGAAUUCCAGGUGUAGCGGUGAAAUGCGUAGAGAUCUGGAGGAUUACCGGUGACGAAGGCGGCCCCCUGGACGAAGACUGACGCUCAGGUGCGAAAGCGUGGGGAGCAAACAGGAUUAGAUACCCCGGUAGUC
rnacentral:rRNA from 1 species